CACCAGUUAAAGCCCAGCUGGGAUUCCACCCCCAGGACCCCUGGGGUGUGCUGCAGCACUGACCACUGGUGAUGACACUCAGUCUGAUCUUUUUCUUCAUCAGCUUCAAGGCAGCAACUUUACAAAGUGUUUGCCUAUAAGUGCGCAGAGGCCAGUGGAAACUGCCUGUUUGAAUCACCUCAGCAGGACCUUCAGAGAAGCUCUUAGAACCAGACAGCUCUGAUGACAGCACUAGAAGGACUGGAAUGCAGCUGGUGUUCACCCAGACUAUUUUCACGAGUGCAAGUCUUAAAGAGCUGCUUCUUACAUCGUUGGAAUUUCUAAAGAAGGAAGAAUAAAGACUGAAGCUGCAAGUUUUUGUUGCAAGCAAAACUACGACAAACUUUAUUUCCUGCCUUGUGGCCAUACACUCUCCCUCAGAAUGCCCUCAGAAGCAGAGUGGUUCUAAAGGUGGUUCUUAACCCAGCAUUUUUUUCAAGCCCCUUUAGUCUCAGUCUAAUUCUUACUGUUGGCACAUCUGUGCUCAUCGCAGGAGCGAAUGUCUCUCAGAGACAUGAGGUGGGGGCUCCUUUGGGCGAGUAACUCUCUCUGAGACUUCCUGCAGGCAUGAAAAGAGGCUUUAAUGCACUCGCCUUACUCAAGGGUUUAAGGAUCAUUGCCUGACACCAUACCAUCAUAGUCUGUAAGCUCAGAAGCCAAAAAGCCAUAUGUCUUCAGAUAAAUUUCCCUUCUAGAGGUUGCUGGGCCAUUAAAACAAAAAGCUAGUGGUGAUAAAUGUUACAUGUACACCCAGAUAAAUUACU